AUCCUUCCAGAAUUAAACGCUAUGCUUGGUAAUAUGGAUCUGUGGGACCAAACUUGUAUCGUCUUUCCUGCAAGCCUCUGUCAACCUCAAUGAAUGGUAAACCUCUCCCUUUCAUCACCAUAACUCAUUUCCAGGAUCAACUGUUACCUUAUUUGGCUUGUUGUGACGGCAGAAUAAGAAACAAAUCUCCAGAAGAGGCUGAUGGAUUAGAAACCGUCCAGAGGGUAACAACAGAAACAGCCAGUGGUUUGGAAAACAUAAUCUACUAGGGAAGAUUGAGUGAGUGGCAUAAUUUCACCCGGAAGAAGAAAGACUGAGGGGGUGUGAAAGACUUCAACAAAUAUGAAAAAAUUACGUCAAGGAAGGAGGGAAUAAUCUGUGCUUUGUGUUCAAUUCAUACAAAUAAUCUGUUCUCAAGGGUCGAUAGACCAAAGGGUAAUCGAAUUAAAUUGAAAGCACGGAAGAUGUCAAUUAAGAAUAAUUGGAGGUGGACUGCGUGGCGAGGUCAAGGGGAUUCAUCCCCUUUUUCCUUUUGUGUUCCAUUGUUUUGAAGCUUUUUCCUCAUGCUGGUCCUGCAACAGAGGAUGUGAAUGGGUUGUAGGAGGAAUAUAGUCUGUCUAGACUAGAGUCGCAAGGUGGAGGGAAUUUGGCCUCUUCGUCCCACUUCCCUCUCUGUUCCAGCAACCUCUUUAGUGGGGCCGGGGGUGAUGUACAAUAUUGCUGCUGCUGUGCCACGAGUCUGGAUGUGGCUGACCCAGAGACCCUUGCAGGAUACAGGAAUUCAGCAGUGGGACAUGCAGUCCCAGGCCUACUUGAUCUUGUCCAUUUGGCACUGCUGGAGGAAUAACAAGUUUCUUCCCGUCAUGCACCAUUCUGGGAUACAUCAUGACAGAGAAAUCUCAAAGCCCAGGUCAAUUAUAACAGAAGAUGUGUAGCACCUCUGCCCCCACAGCGUCUUCUGGGGAUCCACUUGGCAAAAUGAUAUAAAACUAUUUCUGAAGACUUCCCAUGAUCUGGUGCUACUUAGAACUAAGUCACCGGCAAAAUAAAGUGGAGUGGCUUUGGUGGAAAGGAUCAGACACGUCUUCUGCACAGUCCUGCUCCAGACAGCCCAUGGUCUGCAGAAGGGCAGAGGUCUGCCUUCGAGUUCCCACAGGCAGAAGAGGGGACAGACUCACAAGUCCUGCCUUUCAGCAAGAAAGCCUGGUAUAAAACACCACCCAAUAAGUUUUACGACACCUUAAAAGCCUAAUGAUUGCUUUUGGCAAUCAUAGGACUACUACAAUUUUAAAUCUGUCAAGCAAACACCUUGAGAAACCAAACUCCCCGUUUUAUCUUGCAUUUUAAUAUUCUCCUGUUCAGACAGAAGGGGACUGGUUAGCUAGCCGUCGUUAAGUCCUUAUGAGUGAAAACUGUUUGUUUCCCUGUUGGAUUCAGCAUGUUUUCUCAGUCUGUAACCACCACCUAUAAUUAAAAUGUUGUCCUAACAACAUCAAGGUGCAGAGAGUAAAAGAGUCAGUUCACCUCUGGAACUGCAUGCUUUAUGGAGCUCCACAACCCCUCAGAAAUGGAAGCUUGGAGAAACUGUCUCUGUGAUCUUUAAUGGAUUUUUAAAGAUGACAAGAAAGGAAAUGGGAAACUAAAGGCAUGGAAGACAUAAAUUCCCUAAAGGUGCAUUCUGAAGUAAAUCAGAGCAACUGAAAAAGUGAAUUCUUUGAGCCAUGGGAUAUCUCCCAGGUUUUUCAGCUGGACACUUACGGCUUGUCGGGUCCCUGAACACCUCUGCUCUGGGCAUGCUUUGACACAGCGAGUCACAGAAAGAUGAACAACAUCACCUGAAGUGCUGUUUGAGGGGCAGAAAAUUGCUCCCAUUGCACACUGUGCUGCCUUUACUCUAAAUCACAUGACUUAUUACAACCUUCCCUUUAUAAAAGAAGUGCCAUUUAGGUAAAACAUGAAUACAAAGGCCACAAUAACUUUGGGUCCGGUGCAAUACAAUCUAUCACUUCAUAGGUGCAGGAUGAGUGCUCUGCUAGAACAUCUCCCGAUAUAAGCUUUGCUUGAGCAAGGGGCACAAGAUCAGCCCCCUAAUCUGGGCGCUUCUCUGUUAGAGUAGGUUUUGGCUUUAUUAGCUCUCUAGCAUUAGAGCCCUAGCGAUUAAUGAUCAUAUCUGGAGGCCUGUAUAGCAGGAAGAAGUGAGAGGGAUAUGAUCAUGCACUACCUGAUACUGCACACAGGGAAUGGCAAUAACCACGGUGAGAAUUCAGGGUAAAUGUCCUAAGAACCUGUCUUAAAUCACUCACAGCUCUCUUGCUCUUUCCCCGCCUUUUAUCUUCGUACUUCCAGCCACUUUUCCAUGCAGGUCUCUGCCUCUUUGCUUUCUGAUGCCAUUA